UUGGAGGGCAAGUCUGGUGCCAGCAGCCGCGGUAAUUCCAGCUCCAAUAGCGUAUAUUAAAGUUGUUGCAGUUAAAAAGCUCGUAGUUGAAUUUCGGGAUCAGUACGCUGGUCGUGCCUUCGGUAUGCACUGGUGUCACUGGUUCCUACCUUCUGAAGAACCAUCAUGCCAUUCAGUUGGUGUGGCGGGGAAUCAGGACUGUUACUUUAGAAAAAUUGAGUUGUUUAAAGCAGGCAUACGCUUGAAUACAUUAGCAUGGAAUAAUGAAAUAGGACGUUUGACCC
rnacentral:rRNA from 1 species